rfam:Triticum aestivum genome assembly, contig: Triticum_aestivum_CS42_TGACv1_scaffold_513111_6BS
CUAUUACUCCCUCCUUCCAGAAAUACUUGUCGGAGGAAUGGAUAUAUCUAGACAUAUCUUAGUUCUAGAUAUAUUCAUUUUUUAUCCAUUUCUCGGACAAGUAUUUCCGGACGGAGGGAGUAUAUG